rnacentral:misc_RNA from 1 species
GGUGCCAAGAGGCACAGGAAGGUGCUCCGGGAUAACAUUCAAGGCAUCACCAAGCCUGCCAUUCGGCGACUGGCUAGGCGUGGUGGAGUCAAACGCAUCAGCGGUCUCAUCUACGAGGAGACAAGAGGCGUCCUCAAGAUCUUUCUCGAGAAUGUCAUUCGGGACGCCGUUACCUACACCGAACACGCUCGUCGCAAGACCGUUACUGCCAUGGAUGUUGUAUAUGCCUUGAAGAGGCAGGGGAG